rnacentral:rRNA from 1 species
CCUACGGGUGGCUGCAGUGGGGAAUAUUGGACAAUGGGCGAAGGCCUGAUCCAGCCAUGCCGCGUGUGUGAAGAAGGCCUUCAGGUUGUAAAGCACUUUCAGUGGGGAAGAAAGCCUUGGGGCUAAUACCCUCGAGGAAGGACAUCACCCACAGAAGAAGCACCGGCUAACUCCGUGCCAGCAGCCGCGGUAAUACGGAGGGUGCGAGCGUUAAUCGGAAUUACUGGGCGUAAAGCGCGCGUAGGCGGUCUGAUAAGCCGGUUGUGAAAGCCCCGGGCUCAACCUGGGAACGGCAUCCGGAACUGUCAGGCUAGAGUGCAGGAGAGGAAGGUAGAAUUCCCGGUGUAGCGGUGAAAUGCGUAGAGAUCGGGAGGAAUACCAGUGGCGAAGGCGGCCUUCUGGACUGACACUGACGCUGAGGUGCGAAAGCGUGGGUAGCAAACAGGAUUAGAUACCCGAGUAGUC